AACCCUCCUCCUUUGAUACAGAGCUCCUCCACGCUCUCGGGAUGCCCCCCCGUCAGCACUUCAGUGGUAUAACCCACAAGGCGCUACCCCGGCCGCACUUGGUACGGCUCCCUCCCCAGCAGUUCCCCCACCUCCCCCAAACACGUUCAAGGAACUGCUCCCACAGCCCCGAAUAGGUACGGCCCCCUACACUCGGAACUGACGUCAAAGAGCGAGAGAUGAACUCGGAGAGCGCUAGAGCGCAAGCGCAAGAAAGGGCAAGAGGCUGACUCAGAGCAGGACGCAUGCGUACAGUAGGCAAAAGACUUGACCGGUUUUCUGUGCCUCUGAAUCCACAUCUGCAAAAUGGAAACAGAGCUGUGUCACCAAGCUAUUGGACUUUUUAAUGUUAAACAGAACACUUUAUAUCAAUUAAACAUUCUGUGACUCCAAA